rnacentral:hammerhead_ribozyme from 1 species
AUCCAGCUGACGAGUCCCAAAUAGAACGAAACGCGCGUCAAGCUGGAU